GGAGGCAACCUCUAGAGCUCCAGAACAUUCAGGUACCAGGUAGCCCCAAGGAGGAGCUGCUGACCUGGCAGGGAACAACCAAGACUGGGGUUAAAUCAGCCUGCAAGUGAAAGAGAAGAACUUGAACCCAGGUCCAACUUUUGCGCCACAGCAGGCUGCCUCUUGGUCCUGACAGGAAGUCACAACUUGGGUGUGAGUCCUGAUCCCUGGCUAUUUUUUGGCUGUGUUACCUUGGACAAGUCACUUAUUCCUCCUCCUGCUUCCUCCUAUGUAAAAUGGAAAUAAUAAUGCUGACCCUGGGUCUGAGAGAGUGGAUUUGAAAGUACUUAGUGCAUCACAAAGCACAGAACACACUUCCGGUCUCG
rnacentral:sRNA from 1 species